rnacentral:rRNA from 1 species
GACGAACCGUCCUAACGUUGUUCGGAAUCACUGGGCUUAAAGGGCGCGUAGGCGGACCGCAAAGUCUGAGGUGAAAUCUUUCGGCUUAACCGGAAAAUAGCCUUGGAUACUAGCGGUCUCGAGGGAGGUAGGGGCAUGUGGAACUUCCGGUGGAGCGGUGAAAUGCGUUGAUAUCGGAAGGAACGCCGGUGGCGAAAGCGACGUGCUGGACCUCUACUGACGCUGAGGCGCGAAAGCCAGGGGAGCAAACGGG